rnacentral:misc_RNA from 1 species
AAGUCGUAACAAGGUUUCCGUAGGUGAACCUGCGGAAGGAUCAUUACAAAAAUCCAAAUUAUCCAUUUGUGAAUUAGCCUAGCUGUGGUUAGGCGAGCUGCUUGGUGAAGGUCUUUGACUGGAACCUUGCGGGUAAACAAACUAUUUGUAGUCAUGUUGAGAGAACUAAUGCUAAACAACUUUUAACAGUGGAUCUCUUGGCUCUU